AUAGUCGACAAGAGAAAUCUACGAAAAACAAACAAAACUUUCAACAACGGAUCUCUUGGUUCUCGCAUCGAUGAAGAGCGCAGCGAAAUGCGAUACCUAGUGUGAAUUGCAGCCAUCGUGAAUCAUCGAGUUCUUGAACGCACAUUGCGCCCCUCGGCAUUCCGGGGGGCAUGCCUGUUUGAGCGUCGUUUCCAUCUUGCGCGUGCGCAGAGUUGGGGGAGCGGAGCGGACGACGUGUAAAGAGCGUCGGAGCUGCGACUCGCCUGAAAGGGAGCGAAGCUGGCCGAGCGAACUAGACUUUUUUUCAGGGACGCUUGGCGGCCGAGAGCGAGUGUUGCGAGACAACAAAAAGCUCGACCUCAAAUCAGGUAGGAAUACCCGCUGAACUUAAGCAUAUCAAUAAG
rnacentral:rRNA from 1 species